UACAGAGGAGCCAAGCGUUGUCCGGAUUGACUGGGCGUAAAGCGCACGCAGGCGGCUGUGCGCGUGGGGUGUGAAAUCUGGCCGCUUAACGGCCAGGCGCCAUCCCAUACGGCACGUCUGGAGGGCUGCAGAGGUCGAUGGAAUUGCCGGUGUAGUGGUGAAAUGCGUAGAGAUCGGCAGGAACACCCAGGGGGAAACCAGUCGACUGGGCAGCAACUGACGCUGAGGUGCGAGAGCGUGGGGAGCGAACCGG
rnacentral:rRNA from 1 species